UACGUAGGGGCUAGCGUUAUCCGGAAUUACUGGGCGUAAAGGGUGCGUAGGUGGUUUCUUAAGUCAGAGGUGAAAGGCUACGGCUCAACCGUAGUAAGCCUUUGAAACUGGGAAACUUGAGUGCAGGAGAGGAGAGUGGAAUUCCUAGUGUAGCGGUGAAAUGCGUAGAUAUUAGGAGGAGCACCAGUUGCGAAGGCGGCUCUCUGGACUGUAACUGACACUGAGGCACGAAAGCGUGGGGAGCAAACAGGAUUAGAUACCCCGGUAGUCCCUGAGCGGG
rnacentral:rRNA from 1 species